UUUCAGCUCAAUCGGAAACCGGGAAGUGGAUCAAAUUUAACUUGCAAGAUUUGAUUACAGACAGACAGACAGACAACGUACAAAAACGAAUAAGUUUUUGGCAAAAAUUUCAUUUUUGGUACAAGCUUUUAUUGCUGACUGUACAUUUCUUUCCACAGAUAACUAAUACUCAUCGAGACAAUUCUAAAAACCCCAAGCAUAAUUAGGUUGCGUUGUUUUAUCACAGAGUUCCUAUGGCCACGUCCUGUCUCCAUCAUCAGAUCAGCUCGAUGAAUAGAAUAGAAAAACGUUUAUUGCAAAA